CAGGCCCAUUCUGGGCUUUUCCAGAAGGGUCUGAAGCCAGUCUUGUAGAGGGCUGGAGUGGUUGUUGGACGACUAGAACCCUGGGCUUUGCAGGGUGCUGGGAGCU